CAAUAAGCGGAGGAAAAGAAACCAACAGGGAUUGCCCUAGUAACGGCGAGCGAAGCGGCAACAGCUCAAAUUUGAAAUCUGGCUACUUUGUAGUCCGAGUUGUAAUUUGUAGAGGAUGCUUUUGGUGAGGUGCCUUCCGAGUUCCCUGGAACGGGACGCCAGAGAGGGUGAGAGCCCCGUACGGUUGGAUACCAAACCUUUGUAUAGCUCCUUCGACGAGUCGAGUAGUUUGGGAAUGCUGCUCUAAAUGGGAGGUAUAUCUCUUCUAAAGCUAAAUAUAGGCUAGAGACCGAUAGCGCACAAGUAGAGUGAUCGAAAGAUGAAAAGCACUUUGAAAAGAGAGUUAAACAGCACGUGAAAUUGUUGAAAGGGAAGCGCCUAUGACCAGACUUGUUUCUUUCAGUUUUGUUAGUUCUCGGACUGAUUUACUCUGUUAGUACAGGCCAGCAUCAGUUUGUUGUCGGGGAGAAAGGCUUAGGGAAUGUGGCUCCUUCGGGAGUGUUAUAGCCCUUUGCAUAAUACCCUUCGGCAGACUGAGGACCGCGCUUCGGCAAGGAUGCUGGCGUAAUGG
rnacentral:rRNA from 1 species